AUUUCAUAGCUAACUCUUUGUUAUAUUUAACUUCCUCUUCUUUGCUUCUUGCUCAUAACGAUAACUUGAAAGCCUUACGUUCAGAUAGAUAAUCAUUGACUAGCUCAUCCUAUAUCAUUCUAUUCAAUUUAUAUAUGCAGAAAGAAAAACGCAAGCAAUCCAAAGAUGAAGAAAACGCUUCAUCCUCGCGAAAGAGAAGAAAAGCUGACCUCACUGAAAUGACAGAGCCACAGUCUUCUCAUUCUAGACCAGAAGGGGCCUAUGAUGUCUUCCUGAGUUUUAGAGGAGAAGAUACCCGCAAGACAUUUGUAGAUCAUCUAUAUACUGCCUUAGUCCAAGCAGGAAUCCACACUUUUCGAGAUGAUGAUGAACUUCCUAGAGGAGAAGAAAUCUCCGAGCAUCUUCUCGAGGCAAUUCGAGAAUCAAAGAUAUCCAUAGUUGUCUUCUCAAAAGGAUAUGCUUCUUCUAGAUGGUGUCUCAAUGAACUUGUAGAGAUUCUGAAGUGCAAAAGGAAGAAAACCGGUCAGAUUGUUCUUCCUAUAUUCUAUGACAUUGAUCCUUCAGAUGUGAGAAAACAGACUGGCAGUUUUGCAGAGGCAUUUGAUAAGCAUGAAGAAGAGCGUUUUGAAGAGAAGUUGGUGAAGGAGUGGAGAAAAGCUCUUGAGGAUGCCGGAAACCUAUCUGGAUGGAGUCUCAAUGAUAUGGCAAAUGGGCAUGAAGCAAAAUUUAUCAAAGGGAUAAUCAAGGAUGUGUUGAAUAAAUUACGUCGCGAGUGCUUAUAUGUUCCUGAGCACCUGGUAGGUAUGGAUCUUGCUCACGAUAUUUAUGACUUUCUAAGUACUGCAACAGAUGAUGUACGCAUUGUGGGCAUACAUGGGAUGCCAGGAAUAGGAAAGACAACUAUAGCAAAAGUUGUAUUUAAUCAACUCUGCAAUGGACUCGAUGGAAGCUGUUUUCUUUCGGAUAUCAAUGAAACAUCAAAACAAUUCAAUGGUCUGGCUCUUUUACAAAAGCAACUUCUUCAUGAUAUUUUAAAACAAGAUGUUGCUAACAUCAAUUGUGUCGAUAGAGGAAAGGUUAUGAUCAAAGAUCGACUUUGUCGCAAAAGAGUUCUUGUUGUUGCCGACGAUGUGGCUCAUCUGGACCAGCUAAAUGCUUUGAUGGGAGAGCGAAGUUGGUUUGGUCCCGGAAGUAGAGUAAUUAUUACAACAAGAGAUUCAAGUUUACUUCGUAAAGCAGAUCUAACAUAUGAGAUUGAAGAAUUGGAACCAGACGAGUCCCUUCAGCUUUUCAGCUGGCAUGCCUUUAAGGACACCAAGCCAGCAGAAGAUUAUAUUGAGCUUUCGAAGAAAGCUGUUGAUUUCUGUGGAGGACUUCCUUUAGCUCUUCAGGUUAUAGGAGCUCUUCUGUACAGGGAAAACAAUGAUAAAUGGGAAGGUGAAAUUGACAACUUGAGCAGAAUUCCAAACCAAGAUAUUCAAGGAAAGCUUCUAAUAAGUUUUGACGCACUUGAUGGUGAACUACAAAAUGCAUUCCUUGAUAUUGCAUUCUUCUUUAUUGGUAAAGAGAAAGAAUACGUCGCAAAAUUGCUAGGAGCCUGUUGCCGUUACAAUCCAGAAGUUUUGGAGAAACUCCGUGAAAGGUCUCUGAUUGAAAUAUUGGAAGAGACGGUAACCAUGCAUGAUCUAUUACGAGAGAUGGGAAGGGAGGUCGUUUUUAAAGCAAAAGGAUGCAUGGAAUGUACUUCAGAAAAACAUUAUGGAAUGUACUUCAGCAGCAGAAGGGUACGGAUGUUGUAGAGGGUCUUGCACUGGAUAUGAGAGCAUCAGAAGCUAAAUCACUAAGCACAGUAUCAUUUGCAAAAAUGAAACGUUUAAAUUUACUCCAAAUCAAUGGAGCACAUCUCACCGGAUCCUUCAAACUGCUUUCUAAAGAGUUGAUGUGGAUUUGUUGGCAUGAAUGUCCUUUGAAAUAUUUGCCAUCUGAUUUUACCUUGGACAAUCUAGCUGUUCUUCAUAUGCAGUACAGUAACCUCAAAGAACUAUGGAAGGGAAAAAAGAUUCUUGACAAGCUUAAAAUCCUUAAUCUCAAUCAUUCUCAGAACCUUAUUAAAACACCAGACUUGCAUAGUUCAAGUCUAGAGAAACUAAUUCUGAAAGGUUGCUUGAGUUUAGUUGAGGUGCAUCAAUCAAUUGAAAAUUUGACGAGCCUCGUUUUCUUGAAUAUGAAGGGAUGUUGGAGGCUGAAGAAUCUCCCUGAAAGCAUUGGCAAUCUAAAGUCUCUUGAAACUCUGAAUAUUUCUGGGUGUUCACAACUUGAGAAAUUGCCAGAACGCAUGGGUGAUAUGGAAUCCUUAACUGAGUUGCUAGCCAAUGGGAUUGAAAAUGAGCAAUUUCUCUCUUCAAUUGGACAAUUAAAGCAUGUCAGAAGGUUAUCAUUGUGUGGAUACAGUUCGGCUCCACCAAGUUGUUCUUUGAUUUUAGCAGGUGCUUCGAAUUUGAAACGGUUGCUGCCAACAUCUUUCACUGAAUGGAUAUCAGUGAAACGUCUCGAGCUUUUUAAUGGUGGUUUGACUGAUCGCGCAACUAACUGUGUUGAUUUUAGUGGUUUGUCUGCUCUAGAAUUUUUGGAUCUAAGAGGAAACAAAUUCUCUAGCGUGCCUUCUGGGAUCGGCUUCCUUCCCAAGCUAGAUGUCUUGUUUCUUCACGGAUGCGAACAUAUUGUAUCAAUCCUAGAUCUUCCCUCAAGUUUAAGUUGUUUCAGUGCACCUUAUUGCAAAUCAUUGGAAAGAGUAAGAUUACCAAUCGAGCCAAAAAAAAAUCUAUAUAUAAAUCUACAGGAAAGUCAUUCGUUAGAAAAGAUUCAGGGCAUUGAAGAUCUAAGUAAUGGUGGCUGGAUAAUGUGGGUUGAUGACAGCAGUCAUUCACCAAAUAAAUUAUCGAAAAAUGUUUUUGAGACAAUGUUUAACGGUCGUCACCGGUAUUCCUGGUAAGAUGCCAAACUGGUUGAGCUACAGGGGAGAAGGAUGCUCAUUGUCAUUCCAUAUACCUCCAGUCUUCCAAGGCUUAGUUCUUUGGUUUGUCUGUCCAUAUACCUCAUUGCUCCUUCUCACCAUAUGCUGUAAAGAAAUAAUUCUUAGAUGGUCAUCAUAAGUAGGAUGAAUUACAUCUUAAAACUCCAUCACCGAAACAACGUGGCAAAAAUAAUCAAAGGAAAAGGUGGAUGAAUUGUUUCACGUGUCAAAAUAGAUUUAUACCAUGAUUUUGAAUUCAAGUGCUAAUUGAUAUUCAGCUUAGGUGAUAUCAUGUGAAGCAAUUAAUUCGUCCACUUUUUGUUAUGCAGAUCUUUCUCUCUCCAAAUCCAAUCUUACUAAAUAUAUAUAUAUAUAUAUAGUAAUUAGGAGAUCAAAUCUUAUCCUCUCAAUACUUAUCAUUCAACUAAUUAAUAACUUUAUUUAGCAUAAAUCCAUUAAUAAACUCACGAAAAGAACCUAACAUCCUCCUGAAUUCCUUAGCCGACACUCUCGUACACUGCUGAAUCAUUGAAAAAAUCAGUAGAAGAUCUGAAGUUAGCAUCUAUAACAGUGCCUUAGAAUUUAGAAAGAGAAAGGUUUUUUCUUUACUAUAUAUUCCAUUAUAUAAAGCAACUAAAAAAAGGUGGGUGUUAACUAUACAUUCCAAUGUUCAUCCUCUCACAAAAGUUUAUUUCUCCUUUAGGAAGUCCUUGAAAUUUUUAUUGUUUUAUAAUUUGGUUGCUGAACUUUUUUUCUUUUUCAAUUAGUCCUUUCAAGUCGCAUUAUUAUUAUUAGGAUAAGAAAUAAAAGCAAUGGUAUUCAAUUGUUUGAAUGUAAACGAAUAUCACCAAAAACUGAGGGAUGGAUAAGAUACAUAAGUAGAAGUGAAAUGGCAAUGGAAGAUUACUGUGGAGAUGACGAAUUGGAACUAUACAUUUCUUCAGUGCCAACAGUGGAUAAGAUAUAUUAAAUAUUUAAGGCUUUUCGGUAAGAAUACAUAUUUUCUUUAGUUAUUUAUAUUUUAUUCUAUUUAAUUUAAGAGAUUAAAUAUCAUCUUUAAUUAUUUUAUUUUUCUUAUUUAAUCUAAUAAAUUAAAUAUUAUCUUUAAUAAUAGUUUUUAUUAAAUAAUUAGAGUCUGAUUGGUUUUAUUUUUACUUCUCGAUUUUAUGAUAAAAUGUUUCUUAAUUAAUUUAAAAAAUAAAUAUUAUCUUUAAUAAUUAGAUCUAUUGAAUAUCACUUAAAAAAUAAAUUGUAACUUUAAUAAUUAUUUUUUGAAAAACAAAAAGCCAACAAUCACUAACAUAUUUAUUAAAAUCACUUUAGUUUAUUUAGAAAAUAUUGAAAAUUGAUUUUUGUUUUUUUACAUUAAAAUAAAAAAAUUGAAUAAUGUUUUUAUAUUUUAUUUCAAACUCGAUAUUUUAAAACAAAAAUGAAAAAGAUGUGAUAUUAACCUUUUUUUAUUAUAAAGUAAGUUUUUUAAUUAAAAGUAAUAGGAAUUUGUUCGUAAUAACAAAAUGCAUGUACAAUCAUGCGCAUUUAACUUUCUUUUCAAAUUUGAAAGUUCUAAUGAAUUUGAUGGUUUUUUAGGGUGCAAAAGACUUUGAUUGACGUGAGAGUACAAGAUCAUUUUUCAUAGAGAUACUUGAAGUUGCUCCAAAUCAGUACGAUACUUCCAUCUGACAUAUUGAUAUGUAUUUGUUGGCUUGAAGAUCAUUUUCCAAGCUUGGAAGUUUUAUAAAUUGAGCGCUCUUUGUAAUCUUUUCCAUGAUGUAAUUUAUAUUUUCAAGUUACAAAUUUUGAUGAA